UACGAAGGGGGCUAGCGUUGUUCGGAAUUACUGGGCGUAAAGCGCGCGCAGGCGGUCUUCCAAGUCAGUGGUGAAAGCCCGGAGCUCAACUCCGGAACUGCCAUUGAAACUGUAAGACUUGAGGAUGAGAGAGGUGAGUGGAAUUCCCAGUGUAGAGGUGAAAUUCGUAGAUAUUCGCAAGAACACCAGUGGCGAAGGCGGCUCACUGGCUCGAUACUGACGCUGAGGUGCGAAAGCGUGGGGAGCAAACAGG
rnacentral:rRNA from 1 species